UGCUUCUUUCUCUACAUAUAGAGAUAUACUGCCGGUUGUCAUGUUAUUAUACAACAUGUUCGGUGGUAGUCGUCUGUGAUUCGUAACUGAACUGAAUGGCUUGGGGUCACGACAUUCAGGGAUAAAUGAGUUGCUGGCCGUAACUGAAAUUUGCCGGUCAAUAUGCAUAGGAGGGGUGUGUACUCUGCGUUUGCCAGGCUAAGCAUCGCGCUCCAAAAGAUUGAUACUAGAACUACCAACGGGAUCAUUCAACGCAACUCAGGUUUUUAGGUAGAAUUUUCAAGGAGGGCCGUUCGGGGCACUCGGAAUUGAUGGCUUGAUGUUCAAUCAUUUUAUCCCUUUGUUAGGAGGGGCUUAAAGAAAGGAG
rnacentral:sRNA from 1 species